GCGAAAACUUUACAAUGCCGGCAACGGCGAUAAGGGGACCUCGAGUGCCAGGUUACAAAUCUGGCUGUCGAGAUGCCUAAAAAGCAUUUCAUAGCAAGGGCCGGGCAAGACCGGUGCCAGCCGCCGCGGUAACACCGGCGGCUCGAGUGGUAACCGUUAUUAUUGGGUCUAAAGGGUCUGUAGCCGGCCGGAUAAGUCUCUUGAGAAAUCUGGCAGCUUAACUGUCAGGCUUUCAGGAGAUACUGUCUGGCUCGAGGCCGGGAGAGGUGAGAGGUACUUCAGGGGGAGGGGUGAAAUCUUGUAAUCCUUGAAGGACCACCAGUGGCGAAGGCGUCUCACCAGAACGGACCUGACGGCAAGGGACGAAAGCUAGGGGCACGAACC
rnacentral:rRNA from 1 species